rnacentral:lncRNA from 1 species
UUCUGUGAGUCAGGAAUUUAAAGGAACUUAGUUGGGUGGUUCUGCCUCGCUGACUCUUAUGAGGUUGGACAAUGCUGCAGUCAUCCAGGGUGGGAGGAUCCACUUCCAAAACGUCUCACUCACAUGACUAUUGGCAGAAAGCCUCAGUUCCUUGAAAAUGUGGACUUCUCUGCAGGCCUUCUGGAGUGUCCUCCUGACAGCAACUGGCCUUUCCCAGAGAGAGUGAUCCAACAGAGAGAGCAAGUAGGAUAUAGCUGCGCCUUUCAUGACAGCCUCAGAAGCCACAAAUCACCGUGUCUGCUAUGUUUUAUUCAUCAGAAGUGAGUCGCUGAGUCCAACCAUAUUCACAGGGAGGCAAAGUAAGCUCUACCUCUUAAAGGAAAGGAGUAUCCAAGAAUUUGUGGAUAUAUUUUAAAACGGCCACAGACCUCAGAUGGACAGAAUUCAACUCAUCACAUUUCUUGGUUCUUGACACGCUCUCCUCGUUAGUCCAUCACAUAUUGCACGGAUUCAUUCAUAUCGCUGCAUGUAGGCUGCUUUGACCUGCUGUAGAAUAUCUCAUUGUGUGGAUGCACAUGUGGAUCACUGAGUAUGUCAGAGCUGGCAAGAUACGUCAGAAGAGAAAGGAGAAACUCUUAACUAAAUAGAGUUGGAAAUAAAAUAAUUGUCUGUAUGGAAUAAGAUCAAAGGUCCCACAUGUUAAAGUCAACCCCAGAUGAAUUAAAGUCUUACAUGUCAAAAAAAAUUGAAACUUUUAGAAGAAAAUUAAGGUGGAUAUAUUUUAGACCUUAAGGUAGAGAAAGAUUUCUUAAAGAAGACACUUACAGGAUUGAUUACAAACAAAAAGACUGGUACAUUUGAAUGUAUUAUGUUAAGAACUUUUCCACCAAAAGAAAGCCUCGAUUUCCUCAUUUUUAAGAUGAGGAUAAUAAUCCCUACCUUAUAGAAUUCUAAUAAGAUGAAAUGAAGCAACAUAUACAAAAUACUUAGCACAGAUCCUAACACCUACAAAAUAAUAAAUGGUAACGAUUAUUAUUCUUCUCAAACAACAAUCCUAUUAUUUAUCAAAUAAUACUGAGUAAUAUGACAAGACAUAUUUAAACCACACAAGCCAUAUGCAGACAAGUGUUUAAUAUCAUAGUGAUAGUUUCAAGAGAGAGAUAAUAAUUUAUUCUACAUUUAUCAGAGGUCUAUAGCCCAGUAGUCAAUAAAUACUUAUCUAUAGUCAAUAAGUACUAUCAAGCAUCCAUGCCAGGAACCAUGCUAGGGGCUGAUUAAUUUACAUCAAUCACCAUGACUUUUUUCCCACAAACUAACACACACACAAUCUUCAUAGAUUUUUCUGUGAUCACAGCAAGGAAAAGACCUACGCAUGUUUGGAUCAUCUGUGUACAGUCCUACAGAAGAACUUUGACACUAUCAGAGACAGAAAUCUCAGAAUAGUCCAACUCUCACUUAUUUGUGCUAAUGAAAGAGUAAAGUAAAAGAGACAAUUAAAAUGGGAAAUGUGUUUUGUUUUGUUUUGGUGUUUUGUUUUACAAGUAUGCAAAAACCUCAAAUCAACCUGACCCAACAAUAAGGAAGCAAGUCAGAAAAAGGCAGUCUUCCAGAGCUGUUUGUUCAGCAGCUCAGUAAUGCCAUGAAGGUUUGCUUCCUUUCUCUGCUUUGUGUUUCUGGAGAGAGUCCGCAUACAUUUCAAUAUGGCUGACAGCAGUUCUGGAAUGUAUAAAGCCUUGCAUAAAGAAAAUGACAGUUCACUAUGAAAAUCUGAUUCGGAUGAUGUUGAAAAUAGAUUUAGUGUCUGCUCUGCCUCUCUGUUUUCUAGGACUUCACCACCUCACAGACUUUGUACACUCAUGGUUCACAACUUCCUCACUGUGUUUUCUUUAACGAGUAGAAGAUAAAUAAGCUUUAAGAAAUAGUAAAUUAUAUCAAAAUAGACUUUAUCAUAUAAUUUGCCUAAUUAUGUACCUUCAGUAAGUGUUUAUUGAACUCUGGGGUGUCAACAAUUUUUUAUUCAGCUCUCAUAAGUAAUAUUUGCUUAGAAAUCUACCCAUAAAUAGGAUAACAACUUUCAUAAAACAAGAAUUUAUACCUAGCUAACAUGAAAAAGCUAAACAUCCCUUGAAGUACAAUUCUCCUGAAAAUCAUCCCAAUAUGGUUUAUUGAGGCUGAUGGAUUUGGACACCAGCUCUUAAGAAAAAAGAUAAAGAGGAAAGCUACUGCCUGCCACAACAUAUUCUUUUUCCCAAGAGCUGGCUUCAGAAGGUGAACCCAGAGAGCAGGCUGUUUCUGUCCAUGGGAAAGCAGGAUGGUACAGCCCAUAUCUGAUUCAGAAACCAACAGUCAAACCAUUCUCCCCUGAGACUAAAGCAGAGAAUGAAGCCAUUUCCCAGAAAUUUGGGUAUUUAAAAAAUCACCCUGGCCUGGGUUACAGGGUAAUUGUCCCAUAUCUAUGUUUCACCUGCAGAUUCAUGGGACAGAAUUAUUUCCCAAAUCUAGCUCCAUGCUCCUGCCCUGACUUAAGUCAGGGAAUACUUGGUAUGUAGUAGCAUUUAUUAUUUCACGUUCAAAAUAUCUCAAAGCCUUGAAAACUGUAACGUAUUAAACGGAAAUUUGGUAGGCAUUGCUUCGCACAAUCCCAUGAUGCCAGCUUGCUAGCAUGGAUAUGCCCAGGGCACCCUACCAGAUGCUGGACACAAAAGCUCAACAUGGUAGUUCUUCCCUGCAAGGGUUCACAGCCCAGUGGAGGAGAUCGUCAGGUGAGUAAAUCAUCCUACUGUACAGCCACGAUGUGCAGAGGACUCAGAGGAGGGAGUGAAACUGCCACUCCCAGGCCCAUGUCUCAGACCAACCCUUCCCCUCCAGCCAGUUGUGUAGACUGCACCUCUUCUCUCCCUCCUCAGUGAAUACAGGCUAAGGAACGCAGGCUUCUCUUACCCAGGUUCCCUGAACUGCUUUUUUUAGCCCAUCUCAUCUUCUUCUGGUUUUGUUCAAUUUUCUGCCAGCUUUUUUAUCCGGCUCACUUAUCUCCCUUUAUCCCUCAGAACCAUCUCCAGUAAUUCCAUUGACUGGCAGGACAUUUUUCCAUCAGAGAGUAGAGCUGAGCUGCUGCAGUGCCACGGCCACCUCCCAGCAACAACCCCUCCGACCCCAGCAGACCCACUACCUGGCUCUUUCGGUCAGUGGGGACUUUUCAGAUGGUAUCUCUUUUAUUUUAGCUUUUUAAUUUCUGGCUGCCAGGCUUUCUUUUCUUAACUACGUUUGGAGCAGCAUUUUGCACAUCACAGAAGCCAUGCCAGUUUUAAGGUGAGUUAGGAUUCUGCAGGGGAAUCCCAUUAUUUUGAUUCCCUCAUCAAAGCAGGGCUAAGUUUAACCCCUUGCAAAUAUGAAAAUGAAAAGGACAGAGGAGUGUAUUGUCAUGGAAAAGGCACCAAAUUAGUCACCAGGGAACUGGACACAGGUCCCGGCCCCACAACUGACUCUGCCAUGGGAUUUUAGGCAAGACACCUCACCUUUCUGACUCCAAAAUAGUAUGCCUGUUAGUCUUCCUCAUGAUGAAGUUGGAAGAAUCAAAUAUAUUGACUGCUAUAAACAUACCUCAUAAACUGUAAAGCACUGUUCAGUCAACUUAAAGACCCAUGCCAAACCUAGGGACACUGGGCAGCAUGUCCUUCUGAAUAAGCACAUAAGCUCCAUGAGAGCAAGGAUUGGGUCACCUCUUGCUCGCUAUUUACUCCCAGUGCUUAGCACCUGGAAGGAAGGAAGGGAGGGAGGGACAGGGGGAGAAAAUUAUGCACCCAAGGGGUCUGAAAUGUUAGGUCCUUCCACAUGUUUGUGAAGCCCAUCACCUGCUGGUAGGAGUAAAAAUAUCUCAAACACAAUAAAUAUCUUUCCCGAAUUAGCAUCUAUGAAUUGAAUCCCAUUUGUGUGAGAAGUGAAAAGGCUGAAGUUUCCACUUUUCAAUCAACGGUAAAAGUCCUGACCUAAUGCAAUGUCGCAGAGACUGUUCGUUUGCACAAGCCAAUAUAAUAAUAGCAAUAGCUUACAUUUUUAUAGUUCUUUACAGUUUAUCAAGCAUUUUCAAGUAUCUGACCUCAUUCUGAUCUUCAAAAUCUCAUAUAAGUAGGUAGGGUAAAUUAACCCUGUUUUACAGAUGACGAAACUAGGGCUCGGAGGAGCGCAGAAACGUACACCAAAUCACGAGGCCUGUAAGUGGCAGAGCUGGGAUUUGGGCAGGUUCUCUUGGCACCUUGGCUUCUUCAGCUGCUAAUGAAGACAGUAAUGAUGAUGCUCCCAUUGUUAAGCUGACAGCUCUGGAGCCACCCAAACCAAUAUGAUUUCCUCUUUAUUUUGCUAGAAUUAUGGUUAUUCUGAAUCCCUGGAGAGUAGAGUAGGUCCUCUCCUCAUAAAAUAAGGACAAAAAAUUCUUUUCAGGAAAGGAAGGCUACACAGUUGGUCAAUAAUCACAUUUUUAAUGACUUCAUUAGUCAUCAAUCAAUUGAAACAGCAACAAUGAUGCAUCAUUUCCUCCUAUCAAAUUAGAAACAAUAAAAUUAAUGUUGAUAAGGAUGUAGUAAAACCAGUGUAUAUGUUCAAUGCUGGUGGCCUUGUAUACUGCUACAAACUUUUAGAAGCUACUUGGCCACAUGCCUCAAGAGCCAUGAAAUUGUUCACACUCUCUGAAGCAGUAAUCUUACAUCUGGGAAUCUAUCCUAAGGAAAUAAUGAACUAGAGAAAGAAAAAAAAAUACCUUCCUAGGGCCUGGUUGUUGAUUUCUCCCUUGGAUAGCAAUGAGAUAUCAUGGUAUCUUUUUCAUAAAUUUCCUAUUUGUUUAAGCUCAUUCCAGCUGGUUCCUGUUACCUGGCACCAGAACCAUCAUUACAAAAGCCCACAUACAGAGAGCUAAUAUAAAUAUUAAUAUCUUCCCUUCCCUUGCUUCAAACUUGACCUCAAUUGACAUUUCCAGCUUCACAGCCUGGUAUCCCAUCCCUCCAUACCCCCAUCAAUCUCAAAGCUCCGGUCAAGUCAAAUGUCUCACAGUUGACCAGACGGGCCAUGAAUCAGCAUGUUCUGAGCUUUAGUUAGGAUCAGAAUCACCUGGAAGGCUGGUUAAAACACACACCCUUGUGCACACACACACACACACACAAAACACACACACACACAUACACACACACCACACCUUUCACUGGCUUUGAGAACCACUGGUUUAAGCAACAGUCUACCUCUGGCAAAAUCAUCUAGUCCUUCAAGUCCCAGCUCCUCCCUGCUUUUUGCAGCCAUCUCCAAUCACACCAGACUGAACUAAUUACUUGUCCCCUGUGUUUCUUUGGGGCAAGAAAAGCACCUAUUACACUGUAUAAUGAGGGUUAAUUGUAUAAUGGAUGCCAGCUCCCUGCUUAUCAGGAGUAUCUGGAGGGCAGGCCCCUGGCUUCAUUGCCUCUGUGCCCCCAGAGCUAGCACAAUGCUUGGCACAGAGUAGCCAUAUGUGCAUGUACGACUGAAUUAUUCCUUGCUCCCUCCCUCUAUAGGAAGUUAUGGUUUAUUCCUGUUUCCACAGGAUCCAUUAGCAUAUUGAAUAGCUAUUUUUAAAAAACAAUGAUUAGCCAUGAUAGCAAAAGAAGAAACAUGAACAGAGCUUAUUCGUUUGCCAGGCUAGUAAAUAUCAUCUUGCUUUGCUUUCUAAACUCCUUAAUGAAAACAGUGGCUCUCAGGCAAAUAAAUAAAACAUUAGGUAGACAACACACAGCACAUCACAAGCACAGUCCACUAAUUUGCCUAUUGCUGAAGGACAUUAGCCACCUUUGAGAUAAUCUCCAUAAACAUACUGCCCCAUCUCCCUCUCUCAAACAUGAAUUGUAUCAAGCUAAAUUUUUAAUGUUUUUCAAUGUCUUAUAUAUAUUUCAUUUCAACAACAUUUUUUAAUAGUAAGAUAUCCAUCUUAAUCAAAUGAAAGCUGUUUUUCUGUAAUUGUCCUAAAAGCCAAUUCAUUUUCUGGAAAAACAUCUUCUUGAAUCACAAGUGGCCGGGCUAAACAGUGUUCUCAGAAUAUUAAUGUGAAACUUAAGCUAUUAACAUGUCAUGGUUAACCUUUCUAAAAGCUAAUUAAAUUAAAAUAAUAAUAUGUGGAAUGCUUUUACAGAAAGGUAAGGCUCUUUUACAAAGCACCUGUUCCAAGUCUCAGAGCUAACACCUUAUGAAGCCAUGGUGGGAAAAAGGUUUUGCAGGCAGACAAAGAAAGCCUGGCUUUGCACCUGCUGUGAUUAACUUUUAGUUGUUGGUAUUAGAGUUAAUUAUUGCAGCAUGCUGGAGGGCAGUGACAAUUUACUUGCCUGAUCAUACCUAAUAAGAUGUAUUUGCGGAUGCCAGCAUCUCCUGGACUUAAUCAACAAACUAUCAAGACAAUCAAUGCUGUUAGGCCCCAUGUCCUUGUGAUAGUUUUUUCCAAAUAAAAAAGAUAAAAAUCCAAGGAUGCAGUGCUAAGGAUAUAGGCAGGCUGCUUAGAAAGCCUCCGUUAGCUAGCGUCAGGCUUAUCUCCCUCCCUGAGUGGCUAGAUCUAUUAUGCAGGAGGGUUAGUGCACCCUAAGGCCCGAUUCAAUUGGGAGCAAAGUUCAAGGCAACCACACCAGGUACAAGGAAAUUAAGCUCUGAGAACUCCAGCACUUCUUGGUAACUGAGCUCUGGAAGGCUUCAAAUGGGCCCUUUCUACUUUAUCUUCUAUGGGAAAAGGUUGUUAUACCCAAGGCGCUAUACCCUCUUCCUGCUACACAAGGAGGGAGUUUCUGUUCCUUUAUUUGAUAAUCUAUGCUUGAAUCCAUGGAAUACAUUUUUAAAGGAAAGAAACUAGCUAUGACAUAAGACAGGUUGGCAAAUUCCAUAAAACAACAUGCUUUAGUUUCAACUCUGUUCCUUUUUAGGCCCCAACAAAUUAGCAAAACUCCUAUGAGAGGACUGGGGUCAUGUGUGGGCACACAAAAUAAGGAGGGUGCUACCACCUAGAGGGAUCUCAUACAGGUAAUGGAGAGGUGCAGGUGACAGCAAUCAGCAGCCUGGGGGCACUGAAAAUAGAACUAAGACUGUCUUUGACUCAUAAGUCAUCCAUCCUGAAUAAUGAAAGAAGACCAACAUUCAGCAUGAUCACCUAGAUCUCUAACGUCUUUUAUUCAUCCAUUCAUUCACUCAACACAUGUAUUUGUUGAAUUCCUCCUUCAUGCCAGGGACUGUGCUGAACAUGUUCCUGAUUUCACUAAAUGUGAGCUGUGCAAUCUUGAGCUCUAGCAGUUUGCACAAGGUCUAGCUGGAAAAAACUGCUUUAUGACAAUGUUGGGGAUCUUUGUUGACUCCCAGCCUUCCAAAAAUAUCAAUACCCCAGAUAUGACAAGUAUCAUUUCCAUUCACAUUCCAUUGGUGAGAACCAGUCAUGUGGUCACACCAACUGCCAGGGAGACUGGAAAAUGUAGUCUUCAUUCUAUGUUCAGCUAAAAUUCAGGGGUUCUGUUACCAUGUGAAAGAAGGGAAAAACCAAUAUUAAAUGUCUCUGCUUUUGUAAUAUAUUUUGUAAUAUAAGACACUACAAAAGAUGUAGUGUCUUAAUCACACUGAUGAGUCAAGAAUUCUGGGCAUCUCCAUAGACCAGAGAGAUGGAGGAAUGGCCAGGAGCCAAGAGCCAUGUAGGUAGAUUUCUCAAAUGGGAUCCAAGCCCACUUCAGGGCCAGGGCUUCAGAGUUAGAGACAGGUCUCUGGCCCUUAAAGAACUGACAGGUGAUCCAUGUUGGCAUCACCAUUCAUAAAAACUUCACAAAAGACAGUUCUCUGUCCUGUUUUGAAAUAAGUGGACCUUUUAAAGUAUCAGGGAAGAAAAACUUUUCUUCUAUCCUCUUAGGUUCAGUGAUUUGGGGGUCUAUGAAUAAAACCAACAAAAGACAGACUGGCAAAAGAAAAGACAAUGUUUAUUCAUGUAUGUACUUGGGAGCUCACAAAGAAAGUGGCUCAAAGAAGCUGUUAGAACUUGGAGCUUAUAUACCAUUUUAACAAGGAGAAGGGGUUAGGGUUUCAAGGGACAACAAAUGGUGGGAAAUGACUGAGAAAUAUAUAAAGAAACCAACGGAAGGCAAGUGAAGUGGUAAAUUUUAUGCGUCAACUUGACUGGGUCAAACGGUACCCAGAUAAUUGGUUGCAUGUUAUUUCUGGGUGUGUCUGUGAGGGUGUUUCCAGAUGAGAUUAGCAUUUGAAUCAGUGGACUCAGUAAAGCAGACUGCCCUUCCCAACAGGAGUGGGCACCAUGCAAUCCGGUGAAGGUCUGGAUCAAACAAAAAGGCAGAGGAAAGGAGAAUUUACUCUCUCUACCUGGCUACUUGAACUGAAUAUUCAUCUCCUGCCCGCAGACUAGGACUUACACCAUCAGCUCCUCUAGUUCUCAGGCCUUCAAAUUUAGGCUAGAGCCAUCAGUUCUCCUGGUGUUCAGGCCUUUGGGCUGUAUGGCAGAGGGACCUGACAGCCACAAUUGAAGCAUGGCCUAAGAGUGACCCUAUGGUCUAAGAAGAAUAUGUGUUCAGAGUCUCAAGCUAAGGAAUUCAGGAGUGGCCAAUGUAAAGACUCACUCCUUAUGUAUAAAGGACAUCUGAACCCCUGGCCUAUCCCUUGGAAUACAAGCUGUAUAAGGAAUUGAGGCCCUUUGUUUUGGGUUAAAUGGAGGUUGCUAGGUGAAGGUUGCUGGUUGGAGGGUGCUAAGUGAAAAUGCUAUAUAAACUGCAUGCUUUUUACAAAUGGUAGUGGUUCUCCUGUCCCGCCUACCACCACUGGACCAUCCCUGUAUGUAAAUCAUGCCAAUAAACCCUAUGUCUUGUUCUCUGUCUCUAGGUCUCUUCCUUGGCCUCUCAGACAUGUUGCCAUUUCUAUCAGAGCCAAUAAGAGUCUGGCAUGCCGUGGCCUCUGACUAGAACUAUACUACCAGCUAUCCCAGGCUGUAGCUUGCAGACAGCAGAUCAUGGGACUUCUCAGCCUCCACAAUCACAUCAAUCAAUUCCUUAUAGUACAAUAAGGCUUAUUUUAAUAAGGUGUGUUUAUGCAUCCAGUGUCAACUUCUCAUCUCUGGUGACAGGAGUCACCCCUUCUGCCUGGUACUUCCUUAAAGCAGGAUUCAUGAUAGCAGAAUUCUUUUGGAAGGUUCUGCUUUUAGGCAGAUGAGGGAGUGCAGAGAAAGGCUCUUCCUGAAUCUGUUGAUUCUCAAAUGCCUUUCACUCAAAAUAAUAUUUAUGUCAUGUGGCAUAUUCUGAUCCCUUCCUUGGUCACACCCAAAUUUUAUGGACUCAAAUACUUUGAAAGAAAAAAGAAAGGACGGAAAAAAGGAAAGAAGAAAGGAAAAACAGAAGGAAGAAAGGAAGGCACUGGCUAUGAUAAAACAUUUUUCAGGUGAUGUAUGAAUUUUAGAAAAAAAUACAUUUACAUACCCAAAACUAGGGCAUUAUUUUUAACCAAACAAUGUAAUGUAUGGAAAAGACAAGUUAAAUUCCACAUUCAAUUGGUAGGAUUUCAUAUUCAGUGUGAGCCAUUCUCUCCCUGUGCUGUGCUUGCUCCAAACAUAUUUCCACAGACUUGGAUAAUUUACCUUGAUUUUUGCUUAGUAUUGUAAAACGUCCCCAAAAUUUGAGAAAGCAUAGGAAAAAAACUUGUAGAAGCAAGUAAAACCAGAGAGGAAAGCCAUGACACAGGAAGAGAAGAUAUUACUGCCCACAAAGCAGCUGUUUGUCAACAAUCACAUUAGUGGUCUGGGAUCAUGAAGGAAUGUUUUAAGCAUUUUACACCCUAAUAUAAGUUUUUUAGUUACAUAUAGGCAUUUUUCUAUGUUUUCAGAAAUUGGCUAAGGAUUUGGGGUUGAUGCAUACCAUUUUGUAAUUUUUCCCAUUUCAAAUAAUAGGAAACAGCUCUGGUUAGCAUUUUUGUGCACAACAUCUGAUUUUAGGAGGGGAUGACUAAUAUUAAGUGGGAGGUGUCUGUAUUUUAGGAACUGGAUAGGAAAUUGUAUUCUCUUUACUUGCUCAACAUCCAUUUAACAAGCAUUUACCGAGUACUACAGUGAGCCAGGCAUUGUGCUGAGUGCUGAGCAGACAGCAGUGGAAAGUCUUCAUCCUUGGCUAAAAGGAUCUAGUCUAGUAAAUGAGACAGAGUGAGAGUUGUGAAAGGGGGCAUGGCAGGCACUAAUCCAGCUACAGGAGCCCAGGAGAGACUGAAACUAACUUUGCAAAAUCAUGGCAGUAAGAGAAAUCUAACAUAGUUGACUCCAUCCUGCUUCUAACCUCCAAGCUCUCCUUGGUCAUUCCUGAGCAUAGACCAACCAACUUCAGGAGCAAUUUAGUUUAUAGUUUAAUCUUAAAGCAAGAAUGAUAAUAGCCCUUCCCAAAACUAAACUGCCUUUGCAAAACUAAUGAAAGUCCUUCAUUCUGCUAAGAUGUAAGCAUAGUUAAAUGACAACUAGCUAUUGUUCUGGAGGUUACAACAUUUGUAACGUUUCCCAUUACUCCUGUAGAUAACAUAACUAUUGUAGAACCUACGAUUGGCUUUUUGAGAUGUCUUUUUAGAGUUCUGCAUUUCUGACUACUGGCUGACUCCACCUGGACCAGCAACUUGUGAUUCAACCGGUCCUGUGACCCCCUCCACCCAGAGGGGGCUCAGUGCAUAAGGACCAUUUUCCACACUCCUAUGAUUUCA